rnacentral:tRNA from 1 species
CAGAAAAUAGUUUAAGAAAAAUUUUAAUUUUGGGAAUUAAAGAUAAAUUUAUUUUUUUUCUGA